CAUAUUAAAGUUUGAUCCUGGCUCAGGAAAAAGAAGGGAGGGGACAUAAGACAUGCAAGUCGAACGGGAGAAGACUGUAAAAUUUAUCUACUGGUUGGACACCGUGGCGGACGGGUGAGUAACACGUAAGCAACCUGCCUAUAAGAGGGGAAUAACAGUGAGAAAUUACUGAUAAUACCGCAUAAGCUGGAGGUAUCGCAUGAUACAUUCAGAAAAGAUUUAUCGCUUAUAGAUGGGCUUGCGUCUGAUUAGCUAGUUGGUGAGAUAACAGCUCACCAAGGCGACGAUCAGUAGCCGGAUUGAGAGGUUGAACGGCCACAUUGGGACUGAGACACGGCCCAGACUCCUACGGGAGGCAGCAGUCGGGAAUAUUGCACAAUGGAGGAAACUCUGAUGCAGUGACACCGCGUAUAGGAAGAAGGUCUUAGGAUUGUAAGCUAUUGUCGUGUGAGAAGAAAAUGACCAUCACAGGAGGAAGCCCUGGCUAAAUAUGUGCCAGCAGCCGCGGUAAUACAUAUGGGGCGAGCGUUAUCCGGAUUUAUUGGGUGUAAAGGGUGCGUAGGCGGGAAAAUAAGUCAGUAUGUGAAAUCCCUCGGCUCAACUGAGGAACUGCAACUGAAACUAUUUUUCUUGAGUGUUGAAGGGCAAAGUGGAAUUCCUAGUGUAUCGGUGAAAUGCGUAAAGAUUAUGAGGAACACCAGUGGUGAAGGCGACUUUUCUGGUCAACAACUGACGCUGAGGCACGAAAGUGUGUGGAGCAUACGGAAUUAGAUACCCUGAUAGUCCCCCGUAAACGAUGCAUACUAGGAGUUGGCACAAUCAUUUGUCGG
rnacentral:rRNA from 1 species